rnacentral:rRNA from 1 species
GACGAACGCUGGCGGCGUGCCUAAUACAUGCGAGUAGAACGCUGAAGGAGGAGCUUGCUUCUCUGGAUGAGUUGCGAACGGGUGAGUAACGCGUAGGUAACCUGCCUGGUAGCGGGGGAUAACUAUUGGAAACGAUAGCUAAUACCGCAUAAUAGCAGUUGUUGCAUGACAACUGUUUGAAAGGUGCAAAUGCAUCACUACCAGAUGGACCUGCGUUGUAUUAGCUAGUUGGUGGGGUAAAGGCUCACCAAGGCGACGAUACAUAGCCGACCUGAGAGGGUGAUCGGCCACACUGGGACUGAGACACGGCCCAGACUCCUACGGGAGGCAGCAGUAGGGAAUCUUCGGCAAUGGACGGAAGUCUGACCGAGCAACGCCGCGUGAGUGAAGAAGGUUUUCGGAUCGUAAAGCUCUGUUGUAAGAGAAGAACGAGGGUGAGAGUGGAAAGUUCACACUGUGACGGUAUCUUACCAGAAAGGGACGGCUAACUACGUG